UUAUUAUAAUUAAUCCCAAAUCUACUUGGAACAACAGCAGAAGAAUGCCAAGUUUGGGUGGUCUCCUUAAGUUUUGUUAUUGGCAGAGACACAGACACACACACACAGAGCCAUCCAGGCAUAAAGCUAAAAUAUUAACAACAGAUUUGAUUAGAUUCGCUAAUGCACAUGGUUACUGUAGUUUGUUUUUCUAAAUGCACAUAAAUACUGUAUUUAUUGGUGUCUGUCUAAGGCUAUCCAUGAAUAUCUGGAAUUCCUGUCUUUAUAUCUGGUUUUAUUCCUAUAUAAAUGAGAGAUGUAGCUUUGACUGCCUCGUUGGAUUGCAAAAUCAAGGUGCUUGAGGACAAACCAAAGUACAAUUUCUUUCAAGAGACAUCGAACGCGGUGCCCAGUACCUCGAGCCCACAGACAGCCUCACGAUAUGCAAUGAAGUCAUGUGAAUGGAGCAGGGACAGUAGGUGGCAGUCGUCACCUCCCCUGGUAUUUUCCUUCUUCCUUUUUUCCAGCACCGUUGAUGACAGGGCAGAGCUCUCAGGAGUGAAGUCAGCAGAGAACUUUGAUAGCAAUUUCCAGGGGGCCCGAGAUAGAGCCACGCAGACGACCCUCGGCAGGCGUCGGGGGCCCUUUCAGCAGUGGCCUCAGUAGAACCUACAGAAAUAAGAUGAUAAAAGGAUGAACAUGUCUCCAAGCUCAGCCACGACAGCACGUGGACUCCUGACUCCAAGUUCAUCCCAAAGGUCCCUGGACAGAUCUGGUGAGAGUGAGGAUAACAAGCAUAUCCCAUGAUGCCACUGGGGAAGAAUUUCGUGUCUGAACUCAACUCAUGAGUUUCUCAUGACCCCCUGAAGAAGCUGAGCUGUGGCCUGGAGGAACCAUGCCCAUCACUGUCCACCAUGUCUUGCUAAUGUGAGGUCCAGCCACUGUGAAGCAGAGAGCAGGACUCAGAUAUUUGACCAGAACCCACAGUCCCAGAGUCUUCCUUUCUCCGUGUCAGCCCCUCGCCCAGGCUCUCCCUUUGCCUUGAACUGGGAGUAUGUAGCCAUGGGAAGAGAGCACAGCACCCCUUUCCCCCUUUCUGCUCAUAUUCCAGAGAUGAGGGUGGGUUACAUAGCCUGAACUUGAUGCUGGUGUUGCAAGAUUGUUGUCAGUUCUGCUGUCCUGUCUCUCGUUUCCUCCCAGGAAAUUGGAAGGGGGAGGAAAACAUCUCAGUUUCAGCACAGCUGGGUGACUUGUAGGAACUCAGUGCCUGACGUUUGCAGGAUCUAAACUGGUCAGGGAGCAGUGCCAUGGGGGGGUCUAGCUCUGUAUCCCCUUUGGAGAGGAAUUCUGUUUCAGACCAUCUCUGUCAGAAGUGGGAUCCACACCCCACAGAGUUUCCCAAGGUUUAGAUUAGUCCAAAUCUAAUUCACUUCACCUCUGCUGCAGUCACUUUCUGUGGGUGAGCCAAGGAAAAAGCCAUCAGCUGAUGUCAGCCACUCCCAGCAGACACCAAGUCUUGCACGGGACAGAAAAAAAUCUGCGCAGUAAUUCAUCUGCCAACUGCAAGACAACCUCCACUUAGCAGCCAAUGUCUUCAACCCAAGCUGUGCAGCACCAGUGACUCAUGGGGCAAGAGUGAAAAUCAGGGCCACAGUCAUGGGGUGAAAAUAUCACAAGCCAGGUGCACCCUGGUGUUCAAGAGCUCACACAUCCCUCAUCCUUCCAUAGCAGUAAAUUACCCUGAAACAGGAGGAAGGUGUGUUAUUAAUUAUUUCUUUUCUACUGACUUUUUUGUAGAUGCACUCUGAUUUCUCAGACUUAGAGCCCACAAAAUAAACACUCGCCGAGCGCUUGAUCUGUGCCUAAGUCAGAAACUCAGGUUGAUCCUAUGUGCCUUACUGGCCAUACCCAGUAGGUAACUACAUCCCAAAGGUACUUUCUUUCUAAAUAUCCCGUUAAUUUUCUCUGUUGCCAUUGCCUGAUUCUGGUCCUCUUGCCCAGACGCAGAGGUGGACUGGCCACGAAGCUCAAAGAGUUUAAGUUGUAAGAUUUCUCACCUGGUGUGUGUGCUUGUGCGCGCGCACAUUUCACCUACAAAGGUAAGAUAUUUUCAUGGCAAAUCCUUAAGACCACCGUGUCUUCUCUGCUCUGUGUCAGGUGGCAUUGGAGUGACCCUGGGCAUUCUCGGGCAUCAGUUAGAAGGGUCUGGACGGGGAGCAUCUGGUUCUGGCUUAGUGGGAUGGAUGGUGCCAUCUCGGGGUCUUUCCGUGUGUGGUAAGCCAUUGCCAAAUGUCCUAGAUCAGGAGUGGUCUCCAAGGAGAGACCUGCAUCCUGCUGUAUUGACACUUACACACUCACUUUAAUACCUAAUUUUGUACACAUGGUAUUAAUUCUUUAUUUCUUUUUGAGAGGGUCCUUUAAACUACAAAAAUUUUAGGUUCCCCAAGCCAGGGCCUGCAUGACCAGGACCCCUGCCAGCCUGGAGGCUCCCCCUCCCUCUACAGUCAGGGUCAUCCUUCUAAGGUGCAGAUCUGGUGCCGCCGUCUUUCACAGCCUCUUAAAACCCUUCAUUGGUUCCCCAUCGAGACUCCCUCCCCCAGCACACAAAUCCCUUCAGGACAUUGUUUCUGCCUUUAUUCUGUGUUGCUUCCUCUUCCUCAGCUAUUCUCCCCACCCAGGUGGCCCCCCAGAGUGAGCAGCCUCCUCAUCAUAGCACCCAGUAACACAGGAAUGCUGGGCUCUGGGGGGUCUUCACCAGACCAGACCCCCUGAGUCCACAAAGUACCUCAGGCCUUUCUUAGGACCCAGCUCAGCACCUGUUUCUUUCUCCACUCCUGUGCCUCUGUGUCCACUGUUCCCGGGCGGCUGAGAGCUGGGCUGGCUGAGAUUUUCAGGCAGAAGAACUAACUAGCUGGUGAGGGAGUCUGAAUAGUGUUUAAGGAAGGAGACCACAGGUAAACUGUGUUUCUAUUUGGGCUUAUUCACGGGGUGACCACCGUAUCUCCCUUUCCAGGCCUGUCCCCAUUCACGCUUGUGCGCCAGUGGGAUUAUUAACAGCAGCUUCAGCCGCUUUCAGAAGUGUCCCCAACCCGCAUGAUAAAUAUACGGGCACCAUACUUACACACCACAAUUACACACACACACAAACUCACCAUGGAGAUAAAGAUACCUCUAUUGUGUUGUCAUUAA